GUGGGAAGCGCACGGCCGCAAAUCCGACUCCGCCGCCCGCUCUUUGGGGCGGCUUGGGAUUGCGGAAGUGC
rfam:Natrinema pellirubrum DSM 15624, complete genome.